rnacentral:tRNA from 1 species
CCUCUGUAGUUCAGUCGGUAGAACGGCGGACUGUUAAUCCGUAUGUCACUGGUUCGAGUCCAGUCAGAGGU